rnacentral:rRNA from 1 species
GAGACGUAGGGGCAUGACGAGGGGGGAAUAGGUAGGGUGGGAGGGUGAACCGGAAUGACGGGGCGUAAAGCGUGCGCAGGCGGUGUUGUAAGACAGGUGUGAAAGCCCCGGGCGUAACCUGGGAACUGCGCGUGUGACUGCAAGACUCGAGUACGGCAGAGGGGGGUGGAAUUCCACGUGUAGCAGUGAAAUGCGUAGAGAUGUGGAGGAACACCGAUGGCGAAGGCAGCCCCCUGGGUCGAUACUGACGCUCAUGCACGAAAGCGUGGGGAGCAAACAGGAUUAGAUACCCGAGUAGUC